rnacentral:rRNA from 1 species
UACGUAGGCAGCGAGCGUUGUUCGGAAUUACUGGGCGUAAAGAGUGUGUAGGCGGUGCUCUAAGUUCGGUGUGAAAUCUCCCGGCUUAACUGGGAGGGUGCGCCGGAAACUGGAGUGCUCGAGCGUGGGAGAGGAAAGCGGAAUUCCUGGUGCAGCGGUGAAAUGCGUAGAUAUCAGGAGGAACACUUGCGGUGUAGACGGCUUUCUGGACCAUUGCUGACGCUGAGACACGAAAGCGUGGGGAGCAAACAGG